AGUGCUGGCGCAAGUCGUCUUGCGCCAGGCGACUGGGUCUGAGGAGGCAGGAGUUAUUCAUUCCCUUAAGCUUUCAGGCCGGGGGGAGAAUCUUUCAGGUGGUAGCUGCAAGAACUCUUAGUAUGUUGACCUCACCUCUGCCUUCCACAUACCACUACCAGUGAGGAAUUAGGAAUGCAUGAGAAGAGUGUCCAAGAAGAGUGUCCUCAUUCAUGCAAGGCUUAAGAGAGAAUGCAGGUCAACAUCACCAUGUCAAUCAGAGGUGCAGAUGCUGAGAGCACUUUCUAGUCAAGUCCUGCAUGUUCAUUUCUGUCUCAAGUCAGCUUCUCUGAGAAUCCAAUUUAUAAAAAUAUAUUUGUGAAUGUAUAAGUAAAGUGACUUGGAUUUUGUCUACGUACAAGGACUUCUAUGCCUGCAUAAAACAGGAAAGAGAUCUUCAUGUAAACAGAGUCCCUCUUAUUGGCUGAAGUGAAGAGUCAUUCUGAGGAGGAUCUGAAAAUGUAGAGGUGAGACGCUAAUGGCAGAGUGGCCUCAGCUUUCACCAGGUUUUGAAAACAUCUGUGAGGGAGGCACCAAAUUCACUGUCCUGCAGCUUUGACUUCCCAAUCCUCGUUGCCUCGUGCUGCCAGCCUGUAUGCUGGUAGAAGUGUGUUCCUGGGAACAUCCUGGCAUCUUGUGUUAGGACUACACUGGUGCAUGGGACAGAUCACGCUCAAGAAGGUCGAUGUAAUUUGAAAAACAGAUGGGCUCUGCUUUGUGAAAACUCCAAGCAUAUGAAGUCUAACUUGAAUAAAAGGCAUCUCAAGAUGAAGGUUUCCUAUUUGUGAUUAUGAAAAAAAUGUCAAGAACAAGUCCCUUGGUGUUCUUAGACCAAAGUCAGAACAACAGACCUACUGUUGUGAAGAGCAAAAGAACUGAGGUCAUAUUCUUUGAGUAUUUGAAAGCUAUGACAUGAUUCAGCAAUAAAGCAGCUCAUAUCAUCAGUGAGUAAGUAUAAUUUCCAUAUUUUUGUAUUUUCACUUUAAUUUUACUCUUUACUGUAGACAAAAAUGUUAGCCAAUAAUCAUGUCUCCGCUAUACUCAUUUAUCAAUUGUAACCAUAGGUUGACUGUGGGGACAAGGGCUGAGAAGGAAAUCAAUGAAAGUAUUAUGUGAGAAUCAAUUAACUCUAUGGAAUUUAUAAUAAAUACUGAAUAUCUUAUUAUUAUUUGCAAAUUGUGUGCAACAUAUCCUUUAUAUCAGUAAAAUUUGUAGCAAACAUCUAUGUGUAUAUAUACAUCCUUUUUUUUUUCCUCGAGAACCAGUUGUUAAACUUACACUAGCAUGCUACCACCUACCUCCACACCUUUCUUCAAAAGAUCUUUAUCCCCUGACUCACUCUCUUUUCUCCAUAUUCCUGAUAAGGCUGUUCUUCCAGAAGCCAGAGGAAAGCCCUUUGUUAUAGUCUUUACAGGUUAGCCUUCCACACCUCUUGGAGAAGAAUGGGAGGGAUCUGGAGGGGCAAACAGAAGAUAUACGACAUAAUUAGCUGUUUUUUAAAAAUUAUUAAUAGAUUUCAGCUGUGCCUGGAAGCACUCAAUCCUCCAGUCACUCUGUGGCUAGAUAUUAUUUCUAAACACAUAUGAAACCUGCUGCAACAACAAAAUCUAUAAAAUACAUGUCUGCUUUUCUUUCUACUGAUGGUCCACAUGGAUAGUAAGAAAUGCAUCCACAGAGGCACUGCCCACGUCUUAAAACAUGAGAGAAAAGGAUAACAGCUAUGAACAGCAUGUUAAGGCUUAGGUUUCUUGGCAUGUCCUGUGAUAGUGUCCUUGUCAUCUAUUUCUGCAUAACAAACCACUUAAAGACUUAAUGACUCAAAACAGUGACAAACAUUUAUCCUGUGCACAAGUCUGUAAUUUGAAUAGGGCUCCGUGGAGAAGACUUGAAUCCACUCCACAUAGCAUUGGUUGUGGGGAUUGACUUAGGGCUGGAGGAUCUAAAUCCUCUAUGCUCACUCCCAUGGCUGGUGAAUUGAUGUUGGCAAUCAGCUAGGAGUCCAGGGGGCUUUGGCUCCUCUUUACGUGGCCUGGGCUUCCUUACAACAUGAUGGUUGGAUUCCAGGGGCAAAUGUUCUAAACUAGCUGAAAGCCAUGUUGCCGUGUAUGACUUAGCUUUAGAAGGCACAUAGCAUUACUUAUGCUGUAUUCUAUUAUUUGAUGCAGACAAAAAGCCCCAUCCAGGUUCAAGCGACUCCACAUCUUAACGGGGGAGUGAGAAGUUCUGGAAGAGCAUGUAGGACAGGAAAUACUAUUGUGACCCUUUUUAGAAAUUAUAAUCUGUCACAGCUAGAAAGGAAGAGAACGCCUCCCAAAACACUGCAUGUCCCUGGUGUCUUGUGUUUUGUGCAAGAAAUCAGCAGGACAUAUUCCACGACUAGUCCAGAAUGACAAGUGGUAAGAAUUGAGAAAUGGGGGUCAACUGAGGUGAAGGGGAAAUAUGUUGUUUUUACUAACAGAAAUGUCUAAAGAGUUAAUGAUACUUCAGGUCAUUUUUCAAUAGACUGUAGGUAUGUGAAACAGUGGAAGUGUUCCAUUAUGAAAAGCUUAAUCGAGAUAGCCAAUGGAAGUAUUGAAAGGUCAUUACCAUAAUACAUUUGCAGAAGAAGCGCUCCAAAUCAUUGUGAAACUCCAUGGCCGCAUACUCCACAAUUACCUGGAGUAGAGAGACAGUCAGGGUGCCCCAUGCCAUCUCCCCCAGAAUGGAAAAAGACAAGUUGCUCACAUGAGAAUCCAAAUGAAGUGUGUCAGAAACAAACAGUACUCACAUUAGGCAGGGAUAAAGUUCUAGCUGCAGAAUGAUUAAAUACUUUUUUUUUUUAAUGGGAAGAGACCUUUUUAAACCUUUUUAAAGGUUGCGUAGAUGCAGAGACUCUGAGAUAAAGGGAUUCUUUUCCAACCAAAGUAUAGGUAGUUUUCUUUGGUUAGUUAAAGAAGCUUAAAUGGACAUGACCCCUAGAAGGGAUCGUUUAUUUUAUGAAAAGCAUCCAGAAUAUACAAUCAGUUAUGUGUGGUUCACACAGUUCUGUUAGCUAAAAAGGGACCAAGGUAAGAUUGUGUGUCUUUUUACAGAUACUAUUUUGACAUAAUUUCUGACUUAGAGAAAAGUUGCAAAAAUGCAGAAAUAAUAUUUACCCAGAUUGCUCAGAUGUUAAAUGUUUAGAAUAUUUGCUUUUUUCCCCUUCCUCCCUCCCUCCCUCCUUCCUUCCUUCCUUCCUUCCUUCCUUCCUUCCUUCCUUCCUUCCUUUUCUUUUGUCUUUUUUUUUUUCUUUUUUUUUGAGACGGAGUCUCACUCUGUUGCCCAGGCUGGAGUGCAGUGACAAGAUCUCAGCUUACUGCAACCUCCAUCUCCCAGGUUCAAGCAAUUCUCUUGCCUCAGCCUACCAAGUAGCUAGGAUUACAGGCACAUGCCACCACAGUUGGCUAAUUUUUGUAUUUUUAGUAGAGACAGGAUUUCACCAUAUUGGCCAGGCUGGUCUCAAACUCCUGACCUCAAGUGAUCUGCCUGCCUCAGACUCCCACUUUAUCUCUUUCUUUCCUUUCUUCUUUCCUUUCUCCUUUCCUUCCCCUUCCCCUUCCAUUUCCCCUUCCCUUCCCUCCUUUCCUUUUUCCUUUCAAGACAGGCUCUUGCUCUGUUUCCCAGGCUGGAGUGCAGUGACAUGAUGAUGACUCACUGCAACCUGGACCUCCUGGGCUCAAGCAGUCCUCCCCACUCAGUCCUAGUAGCUGAGACCAUGGGCGCACACCAUCACACAGGGCUAAUUUUUAAAUUUUUUGUAGACAAGGUAUCACUGUGUUGCCCAGGCUGGUCUCAAACUCCUGGUCUCAAGUGAUCUUCCCGCCUCGACUUCCCAAAGUGCUGAGAUUACAGGCAUGAGCCACCAGGCCUGGCCUCUUUCUCUUUAAUCUAUCUCUAUCUGUAUCUCUGUCUCUGUCUCUACCUCUAUCUCUCUCUCUACCUCUGGCUCUUUCUCUAUAUCAUAAACAUAUAGUCUGCAUCUAUGUCUAUAUGUCUAGGAAGAGAAAUAUACAUACAGAUAGAUAUGUGUUUGCAUCAGAUAUAAGUGAUGAUUUUUCAGAACCAUUUAAGAGUAAGUUGCAGACAGGAUGUCCCUUUAUCCCUAAAUACAAUGUUUAUUUACUAAAAACAAAUUCUCAAAUUUUCUUACAUAAUGAAAACACAAGUAUCAUAACUAGAAAAUUAAAAUUAAUAUAAUGUUACUAUCUAAUAUAAAGACUUCAUUCAAAUUUUUCUAUUUUUCCCAAUAAUGUUCUUUAUAGUAAAAUAAAAUUUAAGACCAUGUGUUUUUUAUAGUAAAAUGAAAUCUAAGAUCAAACAUAAAACUGAUGUCUUGAUAAACUCAGUUCUGUUACUGUACCUGAAAAAUGGGUCGAUAGACAUAUAAACUCUUAGUUAUAUUUGCAAAGUCACAGAGAACCCAUUUUAAAAUGGCCUUCCCUGGGCAUGUUAGGCUGAAACCUACAACUCUUUUUGUUGGGCCAGGCAGAGAAGAAUUUCUUGUUGGGAUUCCUAGAAGACUGGCACUACACUUAGUGUACAGGCAAUACUUGUUAAAUGUUUAUUUAACACUGAAUAAGUAUUAACAUUGUAACAUUAAGCAUUAUAUGUUUAAUGUAAUUAAUAUAAUGUAAUUAGUUAUGUAAUAUAAUUAAUGUAACCUAAUGUAAUAUAAUUAUAUGUAAAUAGUAUAACAUUAAACAACCAAACCUAGAAAAAAACUCAGAUUUAAAAGUAGUUUCUGUAUCACCUAAGAAUAAAAAUAUUUUAAACCUAAGUCAUCCGGGGCUUGAAUUUUCUAAUUGAAAAUUAGAGGCUUAGGAGGAUGUUAAAAAAAUCUUUAUAUUACUUGGGUAUCAUUGGGUGAACUGUGAUGUUAUUUAUAAUAGUUGUCACAAUCACCUUUGAAAUUCUAGCAACUCUGACACAUUGAGGAGAAUAAACAGAUUUUUCUCCUUAUCAAAACUAGUCCUUUUACUAGAAUCUAAAGCUGUCCUUCGGAUUCAGACUGAGGACACUGUGACUACUGAGGCAAGGAUGUGAAUGCCAGGGGUGUGUGUAGAAGGUGAGCCCAGGAAGCACUGGUAGGAGAGUCAAGAUGUGAGACAGGAAAAGGUAGAAACAAAUAAAGAGUGAAUUAUCUAGUAAGUCAUGACUGUGGAAAACUGGGGCUCACCCCCACUGGGCGACUCAUGGAAAGAGUGAAGAACAGAGUUCUAUGGAGUUAUUCCAACAGAGAGUCCAGGAAGCUAGUGUAUUUAUGUACCCAAUCCCACCGGUUGCUGGUGAAAGCCUGCUGCCAACAAUACUAAGGCCCCAGCAUAUCCAGUCUGCCUCAUGUGAGGGGCUAAUGGUCUCUGGCAGCCUGCAAAAUCCCUCUUGCAAGGGCUCCCAGAGGCUUAUAGCUGGAACCUGCCAUGUCAGGCUGCACGGGCAUGAUGCUUGCCUAGGGAUAGAGAUGGAGCACCUUCAGCUUCUACGUUUUCCAUUCCUGCCAUUUGGAACCAGGUUUAAUGGAAUUAGAGAAGCAUUUGAAAAAUUAGAUAUUUGUUGUUUAAGAAAAUAUGAUCAAUGAAGAGUCAAACUACUUCUUCUUCUUCUUCUUUUUUAAUGAAAUGAACAGGUAAAAGUCCUUCUAUGGCUUAGCCAUCCCAGACUCCAGUAGAAAUGGGUAUGAAGAUAAUUGCAUUAUAGCUAACGAGUAGUGGAAAGAGUGAAGCUAACACCAAUCGCUUGAGGGAACAAGUAAAUUAAAUGCUGAUGACCUUGACCAGGCAGCAAACUACAUUCAUUGAUUAUUUUAAUUUUCUCUCUUCUACACUCAGUUAAACAUCCAUAGCAGUGGAUUUCAAGGUAACUAAAAGGUUGUUUAGCAUACUUUUAAAAGAGUCAGGAAUAGCAGAACAAAAAGGCCCCUAUCAAACAAACAAAAAAAUACCUCAUCUGAUGUGUGUCCUCUAUAUGUGGGUGUACAUGAGUGAUUAUUUGCCUCUAUGUAUCUGCUCCUCAGAAGGGAUGCAUAUGUGUUUCAACAGAAAGGAAGAAAAAGAGAAAAUUGACAGGUAGAACAUUUGAAUAAAAAAGGGAGGAAUGUCCUAUCCUGGGUAAUUCUGUUAUGUGCAGCAUUUUAAAACUGUGAUAUUAUGUGGUAGAAGGAAAUAAAAACUUGAGGGGAGGAUAAUAAAAUGAAAGUGAGAAGGUGAAUUUUUGUAGUUCUGGCUUCUUAG